UAAAGGAAUCAGAAAGAAGAAACACCUAGUUAGUUCUAUUACAGAGACACGCAGAAAUAAAUAUGAAAGCAAGCAUGCACUACAAAAUGUUGCUUUCGUGUAGGAAGACCUCAUCAGAAAGCACCAUCUGCUGUGGCUCUCAAUGCACUGCAAUGUUUGAAAAAUUCGGAAGGUAGCAUUUGGAGAAUCAAAAGGAAAACAUAAUUUGUCAGAUCUUCUUUUGGAUAACUGAAUGAAAAGAUGAGAGAAAGAAAAAACAAGUGCAGAGGUCUUCUUCAAGAAUAGGGCAUUCUUGGGGCCAGGUAUAGAGUGAAGGCUUUCUAUUUUUGGUGGGAAAACUUGAGAAAAGACCCUGUCAUUUGAUCCACCAUUUCCGAUGCACAUGACUCGUUGCUCUGUCCUUCUUUGUGAUCAUAAAUGUGGCCAGAGGAGAGAACUGGUAGCCCAGUGGAAAUUUCUGUCAUGUUAUGACAGACCAUUGCUUGCCAUUAUUUUUUGAAUAAAUACUUUUGCUG